UAUGUGAUCGUCUCUCGCAUAUCAAUAAGCGGAGGAAAAGAAACUAACAAGGAUUCCCCUAGUAACGGCGAGUGAAGCGGGAAGAGCUCAAAUUUGAAAUCUUAAAGGGUUUCCCUUUACGAAUUGUAGUUUAAAGAAGUGUUUUCUGUUGAGGUUUUGGUAAAAGUUCUUUGGAAUAGGACAUCAUAGAGGGUGAGAAUCCCGUAUUUGACCUUUACUUUCAACUUUGUGAUACACUUUCAAAGAGUCGGAUUGUUUGGGAAUGCAGUCCAAAAUGGGUGGUAAAUUUCAUCUAAAGCUAAAUAUUGGCGAGAGACCGAUAGCGAACAAGUACCGUGAGGGAAAGAUGAAAAGAACUUUGAAAAGAGAGUUAAACAGUACGUGAAAUUGUCAAAAGGGAAGCGUUUGACACCAGUGUUGUUUUUCUGAAAAUCAAUUAAAGAACUGUUUAUGCUAAGCUGUUUAGACUUUAUCAGCUAUCUGUUUAGUUUUGAGCCUUUCUUUAAUGCACUUUUCAGUUAACAAGUCAACAUCAAUUUCUUUUGCUGUAAAAAAGCUUGAGGAAGGUGGCUUGAGAUUCGUCUUAAGUGUUUAUAGCCUCUUGCCUAUGCAGUCGGAGAGAUUGAGGUCUGCAGCGUAGAUCCUUCGGGGCUAAAUGCAUUUGUGCUAAGUUAUAGCAUUUUAUAGACAACUUGUUGACUAUGAUUUGUCUUGUAGCUUACUCGCUUAUGUUAUUUUACCUACGCUUAGGAUGUUGAGUAGCGACAUACGCAC
rnacentral:rRNA from 1 species